GACGAACGCUGGCGGCGUGCCUAAUACAUGCAAGUCGAGCGCAGGAAACUGACGGAACUCUUCGGAGGGAAGGCAGUGGAAUGAGCGGCGGACGGGUGAGUAACACGUAAGGAACCUGCCUCAAGGAUUGGGAUAACUCCGAGAAAUCGGAGCUAAUACCGGAUAGUUCAACGGACCGCAUGGUCCGCUGAUGAAAGGCGCUUCGGCGUCACCUUGAGAUGGCCUUGCGGUGCAUUAGCUAGUUGGUGGGGUAACGGCCCACCAAGGCGACGAUGCAUAGGCGACCUGAGAGGGUGAUCGGCCAGUCUGGGACUGAGACACGGCCCAGACUCCUACGGGAGGCAGCAGUAGGGAAUCUUCCACAAUGGACGAAAGUCUGAUGGAGCAACGCCGCGUGAGUGAUGGAGGUUUUCGGAUCGUAAAACUCUGUUGUAAGGGAAGAACACGUACGAGAGGGAAUGCUCGUACCUUGACGGUACCUUACGAGAAAGCCACGACUAACUACGUGCCAGCCGCCGCGGUAA
rnacentral:rRNA from 1 species